rnacentral:rRNA from 1 species
UAAGGAAUAUUGCUCAAUGGGAGAAAUCCUGAAGCAGCAACGCCGCGUGGAGGAUGAAGGGUCUAUGACUUGUAAACUCCUGUAAAGAAGGAAAAAAUUCCCAUUUGAUGGGAGAUGAUGGUACUUCUGGAGUAAGCACCGGCUAACUCCGUGCCAGCAGCCGCGGUAAUACGGAGGGUGCAAGCGUUAUCCGGAUUCACUGGGUUUAAAGGGUGCGUAGGCGGAUAUGUAAGUCAGUGGUGAAAUCAACGGGCUCAACCUGUUAACUGCCAUUGAUACUGUGUAUCUUGAAUAUGAGAGAGGUAGGCGGAAUGUUGCAUGUAGCGGUGAAAUGCUUAGAUAUGCUACGGAACACCGAUUGCGAAGGCAGCUUACUAUUUCGUAAUUGACGCUGAGGCACGAAAGCGUGGGUAGCGAACA